rnacentral:rRNA from 1 species
GAUGAACGCUGGCGGCACGCUUAACACAUGCAAGUCGAACGAGGUCCAUGGAGCUUGCUCCGGAAGACCUAGUGGCGAACGGGUGCGUAACACGUGAGAAAUCUGCCCCGAACUCUGGGAUAACAGUUGGAAACGACUGCUAAUACCGGAUGCCUUCACAUGACCGCAUGGUCGAGUGAAGAAAGACUUAUCGGUUUGGGAGGAUCUCGCGGCCUAUCAGCUUGUUGGAGAGGUAACGGCUCACCAAGGCAUCGACGGGUAGCUGGUCUGAGAGGAUGAUCAGCCACACUGGAACUGAGACACGGUCCAG